UGUGUGUUUCCUCUACAGAACCCGGACGGGUCAGGGGGUUCUGAGGACGACCAGCCGAGGAGGGAGAGACCCGAGGAAGACCGGACGGAUCGUGAGGAAAGCGUAACAAAGACAAAAGCCUCGAAGCCGGACAACGCCGGAGGAAUCGCUGCCUCUGUGAUCGUGGUGGUGCUGCUGAUCGGCACCCUGGUCGCUCUGCUCGUCUUCUACCUGCGAACCGAACCAGAUGCCAACUCUCCAUCGCUCGCUAUCGGCAUUAGUAACGAAGGAUAUGUUCCAGAGGAUCCUGUGACUGUUCCUCCAAGACAAAACCAUCCAAUGGCUGCAGGAUUCAACAACGUCUCUGUGAGUUUUAUUCAACUCAGUUUCUAUUGUUGAAACCAAAUGAUGACAGAAGCUUCACCACUAGGGGGCAGCAACUAUUAAU